UUAAAGAAAUAUCAUUUAAAAGCUUCUAACUUUUUAAAAAGCAUUAACUUGUUUAU
rnacentral:tRNA from 1 species